AAUCGUAUACGGGCUCAGCCCAAUAGACUGGUCCAGGCCCAACAAUUGGUUCUACCCUUCCAGUCCUGCGAUACACCCGUCCCGUAUCACUCGACGGAGUGGCCGCCGCCAAGUCCAUCCCCUACCUAGAGUCGUCGACCUGCCGGGCAUCUCCGUCGACGGCGGCGACGAAAGUGGAGGAGGGUUCUUCUACGGUAGCUGCCCCACUGCGCCGCUGUUGAUCCGUCGCAUCACGUCCCCAUCCGUGUCCCCCAUCGCCCUCCUGCAGCCGGAAAGGAACCCGCGGCCGCCGGAAAGGAGCUCGCCGCCGGCUCCUCAUCUCGUCCCUGAACUCCUCCCUCUGUGCCUGGGAAAGCUUCCGGUGGCUGCGGCGGAGGAGGAGAUUGCGCUCGUCUAGUUGUUUUGGAAGAGCAGGUUCUGGACUCAAAGAAGAUUAUACAACAAAUACGUGAUGCCAAGCUUACCAUGAAGCAUAUCUAGCAUUUUAGGAUGCGGUGAUAGAAGAGCUGGAAGGCAAAACUAAAGAAAUAAUAACAAAGAUGUUGCACAAGACAAGAUAAAGGAGCACGAUGUUCUUAUGAAGAGAUUAUCAGAUUUUCGGUGGCGACCGUCAGUGUAGUCAUUGCCUUAGCUGUUGUACUAACUUAUAUGUAUGUUAAGUUAUGAUUCGUUGAAAUGUCAAUAAGUGAUAUUGAAUAUUGAAUUCAUAAUAUCUGAGGGGAAAACAUGUUGCUGCAGGCCCAGCCAUAGCCUUUCUCUUGUUCAACUUAACUGAAGACUACAGCUACACAACCAGCUUGUAUUACUUUCAGUAGAUGAUGCAAAUACACUUGAACAUGUUAAGCUCAAAAACACGCACUUAUUUGUAUAUUAAGUUCU